GAUGAACGCUGGCGGCGUGCCUAAUACAUGCAAGUCGAGCGAACAGACGAGGAGCUUGCUCCUCUGACGUUAGCGGCGGACGGGUGAGUAACACGUGGAUAACCUACCUAUAAGACUGGGAUAACUUCGGGAAACCGGAGCUAAUACCGGAUAAUAUAUUGAACCGCAUGGUUCAAUAGUGAAAGACGGUUUUGCUGUCACUUAUAGAUGGAUCCGCGCCGCAUUAGCUAGUUGGUAAGGUAACGGCUUACCAAGGCGACGAUGCGUAGCCGACCUGAGAGGGUGAUCGGCCACACUGGAACUGAGACACGGUCCAGACUCCUACGGGAGGGAGCAGUAGGGAAUCUUCCGCAAUGGGCGAAAGCCUGACGGAGCAACGCCGCGUGAGUGAUGAAGGUCUUCGGAUCGUAAAACUCUGUUAUUAGGGAAGAACAAAUGUGUAAGUAACUAUGCACGUCUUGACGGUACCUAAUCAGAAAGCCACGGCUAACUACGUG
rnacentral:rRNA from 1 species